CAGUCGCCGCGGUAAUACGAAGGGUGCAAGCGUUAAUCGGAAUUACUGGGCGUAAAGCGCGCGUAGGUGGUUUGUUAAGUUGGAGGUGAAAUCCCCGGGCUCAACCUGGGAACUGCCUCCAAAACUGGCUGACUAGAGUACGGUAGAGGGUGGUGGAAUUUCCUGUGUAGCGGUGAAAUGCGUAGAUAUAGGAAGGAACACCAGUGGCGAAGGCGACCACCUGGACUGAUACUGACACUGAGGUGCGAAAGCGUGGGGAGCAAACAGGAUUAGAUACCCCUGUAGUCCCUGUCUCUUAUAC
rnacentral:rRNA from 1 species